rnacentral:rRNA from 1 species
GACGAACGCUGGCGGCGUGCUUAACACAUGCAAGUCGAGCGGUAAGGCCCUUUCGGGGGUACACGAGCGGCGAACGGGUGAGUAACACGUGGGUGACCUGCCCUCAGCUCUGGGAUAAGCCUGGGAAACCGGGUCUAAUACUGGAUAUGACUCCAUGACGCAUGUUGUGGGGUGGAAAGCCUUGUGCGGCUGAGGAUGGGCCCGCGGCCUAUCAGCUUGUUGGUGGGGUGAGGCCUACCAAGGCGACGACGGGUAGCCGGCCUGAGAGGGCGACCGGCCACACUGGGACUGAGACACGGCCCAGACUCCUACGGGGAGGCAGCAGGUGGGGAAUCUUGCGCAAUGGGCGAAAGCCUGACGCAGCGACGCCGCGUGAGGGAUGA